GAUCGGCGUAGAAAUUUUAAAGAACUUAUGUAGUGGAAAUUUUAUUUUAUUUGGAACUUCAAACCUCUGGGAGAAAUUAUAAAGGCCCAACAAAAAAGAAUAGGUGGAAAAUUUUCUCACCAUAUCAAAUUGCUCAUCCAAAAGUCGACGAACUCUUGGCUGCUCAGUAA